GUGGUUCUGCUGGUGUUACUGGUUCUGCUGGUGAGACGAUGUGUUCACAGGAAACCUGAAGCAGAUCAAGAAGAAACUGGAGAAGAUGACAUCAUCACUCAUGUCAUGUACAGUUUCAUCAAAUCAUCAACAACAGCCAGUCAGACGAAGCAGAGAAGCUGCUCCACUGGAAGAGAUUUCUGAGUGAGGAUUUCUGUGAAUGAGUGAGCUUCAUCCAGUGACCCGUCCAGUCUGUGAGAGCCUGAGAAUAAUGGACUUCUUACUUUUGUUCCAUGCUCACAGACAUUACAGGUGUCUUCAUGUUUCUUCACUGAGGUUACAUCUGUGUUGGGUUUGUGUUUUAUCCUGCUUGAAGAAGAUGGUGUGAGUUCAAAGUUCAACUUAAAUUUAGGUGACUUCAGGAACUCUGACUGUGGUUGCUGUCCAUGGUGCUGAUCAGCAACUGGAACGAUGCUAAUGAUUAUUCCUCAUAUUGUUGUUGCACACUGUGAUAUCGUGAAGUCAGUGUUAGAUUCAAAUAACUUUUACAUUUUUUGCUGUCUACAAAUUGUAAUA